ensembl:lncRNA
CGCAAUUAUGUCAUGGAAGCAAGACCGACCCACCAUCUUGAACUAUAGCACUGAUGGCUCUUGGCAGGCUCAGAACCCGGCCAUUACAUACACAAAUCAUUUGAAUCAGAGUAGAUUGAUAAUGCAAACUUAACGUCUUUUCUGGAAACCCCAGAUCCCUACCUGUUCCCCACCCGCAAACCAUACAGCGCAGUCUUCAUCUGUGGCCCCCUUUGUGUUUUUUCCUCUUUAGUCUCUAAACCUCUAGUUUCCUCUCGGGGUCGAGGAAGGCUCCAGGAUUUCUCCUGAGGCUGCCCCAGGCCUUCCAACCUCAUUGUCCAAACCAGAGGACGAGCCAGGGAAGAAGACCUGUUGGACGCAGUGGCAGAGGUCCAGGGAGAGAUGGUGGCAGAUGGUGGCAGUGAGGACGAGGCUGGAAUAUUGUUACCAAUGCGCCUAUACUGAAGAAGUGAAAAUCAUUCAAUUUGGCGGUGAAAUUAGAUGUAAGAAUCAGAGCCUCUUAGUCCUUGCGUCAGACAGGAUUCUUUGGAUCGCAGGGGACAAGAACCCAACUCAGAUUAGCUUAAACCAAGAAGGCUGUCUCCUGGGGGGGACACUAGCGCAGUGCCAGAAUGGAAGGAAGACUUCAAGAAGGAGGGCAGCUCCAUGGAGAGACUGGAUUCUUCGCUCCUUUGGUUGCCGCCUCUCUCGGCCUCGAUUAUCUCGGAUGUCUUCAAACGGCCUGGUACAUGGCUCUUCCUCACAGCUCCGAAGCCAGAGAGGAAGGAGCGGUCCCUCCAAUCCCAUUCAUUGCUGCUCAAGGGAGCAUUCUGAUUGGCCCAGCUCAAGGUAAGUGCUCACCCCUUGGACCAAUCACCGUGGCCCGGGCGUUGGUCAGGGAGGCACAGACCCAUCCCCACAGAACUUGAUGACUGGAUUGAAGAGUGGGACAGGAGCAGCUCCGCAGGAAAGGAGGAGUUAUUCUGGGCAACCUCUAAAGGGCCCUGACGUUCUGGCGCGCCCUAUAAUGAACCUAUCACUGGCCCGAUCACUUGACAGGCUGGCCUCGUUGCAUCAACGCCUGGAGAGCAUCCAGAGGGCCCCCCUUGGUGGCAAAAGUUACCGAAUUCCUGCCACAUCUUAUUCCAGUUAAAACUGUGUUACCUCAAGGACUGGUCUUCAAGAAAGAUAGAAAGCCUGUUUCCACUUCGAUUUACAUCACCAUCAAAAGGUGUGCUCCUAGUUAAUGCUGCAAAUAUGGUGUGAGUUAAAUGGAUAAGUCAAUUUGGAAUUCCAAACCGUCAUGUGAAGAUGACCUGUUUUAACACAGCUCUUUCCUUGUGAGCCGAGGACAGUAUUUGCCCCUUACUCUAAGGAUGAGGGGUUUUUGGGCCCAGGGCUCCCCACAGUGUCUUCUUGCUCCCCUCCUGGCAGGAGUGUGAUAACUUCUAUUCCUCAGCGAGUCCUGCAGCUCUGUCUUCUCCUUUCCUCGCAUCCACAUGCCCCAUGCCAUGCCAGUGGUGUAGGUUCAGCUAAUAUGUCAUCUCCUCCAGGAAGCCUUCCUUGCCUGCCCCUUCCUGAGCUGGAGCUAUGUUUCCUGCUCUGGCUCUCUCUGCUGGCUUGGAAUUCAUUGCCUCUUGUGUUAGAGUCACUGAUUAUGCUCACCUUAUCUCCCUACCAUCUCUGUGCCCCUAUGCACACACACAGUGAUAAGCAGGUGUCAGUAAACGUCUGUUGAAUGAAGACAGGCCAGUACUCCUUACAUUGCCCAUCUCAGACAGGAUCCUGUUCCCCCUAACAGUCCUUUUUCACGUUACUUAACACCCCUAUCACCCUUAUCCCCACGGCAAGAAGUUUUUAAAGGAGCUGGUGGAGAUGGAAGAAAAGUUUCCAGAUCUGAUCACAUAAAAUUCAGAACACCGUAAACACAAUAAAAGGCAACAAGAAACUGAGAGAAAUAUUUGCAACAAAUUUGACAAAUUCAAAUGAGAUGCCAUUUUUAGCUUAAACUUGGCAAAAAUAAAAGGCAUGUUUUGAAGCAUAUUUAAUGACAAUUUUAUGGAAAAUAUUUGAAUAGAGAAAAGCCUGGAAAGAAAGCCAACAACAAUUUAAUAAUGAUUAGACCAAAAUUUUGGGCUUAUGGAUUGUUUUUUUUUAAGUUUUGCUCUUUUCCAAUUGUUUAUAAUAAAUAAUCAUUACAUAUAUAAUCAUAAAAACUAAGCGACAGAUGCCACCUUUUCCUGAAUUUCCUAUAUUAUAAAACUUCAUGUUGAUAAGGGACUGAGGAGAUGAGGAUGUUGGAGCAUAAAUUGAUACAACUUUCCAGGAGGAAAGUAUAUGUUAAGUACAUCUUAACAGUAUAUAUAAAGAACUUUUAAAAUGUAGAUAUUCUUUCACCUAACUUCUGUUUCUAGUCAUUAAUUUCCAUGACUGGAAUAAAACAUGACUAGGAAAAACUUCUACUUUUAGUCAUUGAUUCUAAUGAUUAGAAUAAAGAGUGUCUAGGAAAUUAAACAGGAAUGGGAACAAUUUACAUACAGCAAUAUUCAUUGCAGAGGUUUCUAAAAUUUGAAAAAAUUGGAAACAAGGGUCCAGUAUUGAGGAUAUGGGUUAAGUAAAGGAUGGUGUGGUCCUAUAAUGGAACAGUAUGCAGUCAUGAAAACG